UUUCCCACGGGCAGCUUUGACGGUGAAAGAAUCGCGACGGCGAGGGAAUACGUAAGUGGUGGCAACGGUAGUGAGGAAAGGAGGGAGGAAGGGAGAGGAGAGGUGGGUAGGGGUUAGUUUAGAGGGAAUUGAGGAGAAAAAGGCAGAGGUGGUGGUUGAGGAGUGAGUUGGGAAAGGGGAGGCGUGUGGGUAUCUAAGCUUAGAAGAAGCGGCAGUGGCUGCUGCUGUUGAUGAAAUUGCCAUUUCCUUGUAGAGGAGAGGAGAAGAGAGGAAAGGAGGGUUUUGGCCUUUGGCUUUGGAAAAUGAAGAAGAGAAGGUAAAAGAGAUUUGGGUUUGUGUUAUCUUAUUCCUCUGUGGCUUUGAGGAUGAGGGUUUGUGAAAUGGACGGACUAAAAAGAAAGGCUAA
rnacentral:lncRNA from 1 species